UACGGGGGGGGGCAAGCGUUGUUCGGAAUUACUGGGCGUAAAGGGCGCGUAGGCGGCCUGCUAAGUCGGAUGUGAAAUCCCUGGGCUCAACCCAGGAACUGCGUCCAAGACUGGGAGGCUUGAAUCCGGGAGAGGGAUGCGGAAUUCCAGGUGUAGCGGUGAAAUGCGUAGAUAUCUGGAGGAACACCGGUGGCGAAGGCGGCAUCCUGGACCGGGAUUGACACUGAGGCGCGAAAGCCAGGGGAGCAAACGGGG
rnacentral:rRNA from 1 species